rnacentral:rRNA from 1 species
GAUGAACGCUGGCGGCGUGCCUAAUACAUGCAAGUCGAGCGAACAGACGAGGAGCUUGCUCCUCUGACGUUAGCGACGGACGGGUGAGUAACACGUGGAUAACCUACCUAUAAGACUGGGAUAACUUCGGGAAACCGGAGCUAAUACCGGAUAAUAUAUUGAACCGCAUGGUUCAAUAGUGAAAGACGGUUUUGCUGUCACUUAUAGAUGGAUCCGCGCCGCAUUAGCUAGUUGGUAAGGUAACGGCUUACCAAGGCAACGAUGCGUAGCCGACCUGAGAGGGUGAUCGGCCACACUGGAACUGAGACACGGUCCAGACUCCUACGGGAGGCAGCAGUAGGGAAUCUUCCGCAAUGGGCGAAAGCCUGACGGAGCAACGCCGCGUGAAUGAUGAAGGUCUUCGGAUCGUAAAACUCUGUUAUUAGGGAAGAACAAAUGUGUAAGUAACUAUGCACGUCUUGACGGUACCUAAUCAGAAAGCCACGGCUAACUACGUG